rnacentral:rRNA from 1 species
UUGAACGCUAGCGGGAUGCUUUACACAUGCAAGUCGCACGGCAGCGCGGACUUCGGUCUGGCGGCGAGUGGCGAACGGGUGAGUAAUGUAUCGGAACGUGCCCAGUAGCGGGGGAUAACUACGCGAAAGCGUAGCUAAUACCGCAUACGCCCUACGGGGGAAAGCAGGGGAUCGUAAGACCUUGCACUAUUGGAGCGGCCGAUAUCGGAUUAGCUAGUUGGUGAGGUAACGGCUCACCAAGGCGACGAUCCGUAGCUGGUUUGAGAGGACGACCAGCCACACUGGGACUGAGACACGGCCCAGACUCCUACGGGAGGCAGCAGUGGGGAAUUUUGGACAAUGGGGGCAACCCUGAUCCAGCCAUCCCGCGUGUGCGAUGAAGGCCUUCGGGUUGUAAAGCACUUUUGGCAGGAAAGAAACGUCGCGGGCUAAUACCCCGUGGAACUGACGGUACCUGCAGAAUAAGCACCGGCUAACUACGUG